rnacentral:RNase_P_RNA from 1 species
GGAGUGGUCUGGACGGUCGCGUUGGAUGCCUGCAUCCACCGAGGAAAGUCCGGGCUGCACAGGGCAAGGCGCCGGUUAACUGCCGGUGAGGGCGACCUCGAGGAAAGUGCCACAGAGACUUAGACCGCCAGCCGCGCUUUCGGGAGCCGCUGGUAAGGGUGAAAAGGUGCGGUAAGAGCGCACCGCCCGAUCUGGUAACAGAACGGGGCAUGGUAAACCCCGCCUGCAGCAAGGCCAAAUAGGAGAGCGCCAAGCGUGGCCCACGUUUGCUCUCGGGUAGGCUGCUUGAGCCUGCCGGUAACGGCAGGCCUAGAUGAAUGACCGUCUCCUCCCUUUCGGGAACGAACUGGAGAGACAGAACCCGGCUUACAGGGCCACUCCGUAU